AUCUUCAGGAAUUUUACCUGGGUAACUCCUCAAAUGAAAUUCCAAACAUCUGUCCAAAUGGUUGUUGAUCAUUAAAAUUGCACUUCAAGGAGACAGACCUAAAUGAACACAUAGUGAGAAAGGAAAAUGAGCAUGACACAUGGAAAGAAAUGGCUCCCCUCCUUCGCCAUGGCUUUCCCUUCAAGCCCUGCUGGAACAAAUAAAAGCAUUGGACUGGACUAUAAAUUUCAGAGCUGUCUCUGAGAUGAUAAAUGUCUGAAGAUCAAGAUCUGAGCAAAGAAAAUGAAGGACAUGCUAUGCAGACCAGAAUAGAACUGGACGUCUCAGUGAAAAGUUACACAGUGCGGAAAGGUUUUUCAGAAACUCUUCAGAACAAACAGCAGAUGAAUUCUUAACUCUGUUGAUCACUGACAUCGCUAGAGACUAAUCAGAGAAUUUUUACUCAGCUAAACAGGCAUUUGAACUGGGCAAACAGGACGACAGCAGCAGUGAGCUGAUCAUUGCAAGCAUUGUAGCAAACUGGCACUUUGCCUUUUCACCCCUUUGGUUCAGGAGACCAACGUGUGCAAUCCUCAUUUCUAAAGUGAGCACAGCCUGGAAGGAUUCCUGGUAUCUCCCACCUUCUAGCCUUCUGCUGCCAGUGACGGCAAGGAUUGGUGCAGCUUCUGCGCAGUGCUUUGUGCCUGGAAUACCGAGAAGGAAGAAAAAGAAGACAAGCACCCUGAUACUUCUUUGCUAAGAAAUAACAGGAGCCCUGAAGGAAAAAAAAAAGUCUGAGUUUGUCCUACUGCAUCUAAGAGUGAUGAAAAAACAAACAAAAAAUGAGAUGAGAUGCUCCUGCUCAAAACAAAAACAAAACAAAACAAAAAAAGCCAAAAUCCAAAACAAAACAAACUUUAAAGAGGCAAACAUUGGCUUGUGUAACUUCAGAGACCUCGGGCUUUGUAAAGCAGCUUUUUAAGGCAACAUAACCAAACGAACCUUCUUUACUUUCAUUAUUUCAAAACUAUGGCUUAAUUAGCAAGGUAUUUUGCACUUGGUGAAAUCGCACCUUCCAUAUCAGGCAGAAACUUAAAGUGAAUAUGAGACGUGAAGAAAUUGAUCAUAGGAGAAAAUCAUCUCAGGUAAAGAUAUACAAAAAAGAACAAUUCAAAUUUAAUAUUUUUAAGUAGAAAAUUCUUUUGAAAGUGCUUGAUUGAAAGAAUUCAUUUUGUGUUCUUUAUGCAUCUAACUGUUAGAAUUUUCAUUGAUGGUGUUCAUGUGAGAAUUCACGUAUGACCAAAUUU